AAGUCGUGCGAGAAAGUACCUUCGGGUGCGAGUAGAGCGGCGGACGGGUGAGUAACGCGUAGGAAUCUACCUAGUAGAAGGGGAUAGCCCGGGGAAACUCGGAUUAAUACCGUAUACCUCCUCAGGGAGAAAGAGGGCUUAGCUUUGAUGCUCUCGCUAUUAGAUGAGCCUGCGUAAGAUUAGCUUGUUGGUGAGGUAAUGGCUCACCAAGGCGACGAUCUUUAGCUGGUCUGAGAGGACGAUCAGCCACAUUGGGACUGAGACACGGCCCAGACUCCUACGGGAGGCAGCAGUGGGGAAUAUUGGACAAUGGGCGCAAGCCUGAUCCAGCCAUACCGCGUGUGUGAAGAAGGCUUUCGGGUUGUAAAGCACUUUAAGUAAGGAGAAAAAGAUUGUAGUUAAUACCUGCAAUCCGUGAUGUCACUUACAGAAUAAGGACCGGCUAAUUCCGUGCCAGCAGCCGCGGUAAUACGGAAGGUCCAAGCGUUAAUCGGGAAUUACUGGGCGUAAAGCGCGCGUAGGUGGUUUU
rnacentral:rRNA from 1 species